GUCUACAGCCAUACCACCCUGAACGCACCCAAUCUUGUCUGAUCUCAGAAGCUAAGCAGGGUCGGGCCUGGUUAGUACUUGGAUGGAAGAAU
rnacentral:rRNA from 1 species